CCACCGUCCCAUACUUGUCCACCUCGGGCAUGUUCAUGUCGUCGAUGAAGUAGACGAGCUUCUUAGUGCCUGGCGGCCCGUAGUUCCUCCCCGAUUUCUUCUCCAGCGGCUUCUCCAGCACCCCUAGAGAGGGCAGAGGGUCAGCUGCCCGCCUGCGCCUCCUGAGCCAGAGCCUGUUAGGUAGGGAGGGGCGCUACCUGCUUCCCCGGAGGACAGAAGGUGGGACCUGGCUGGGAUCCAAGUUUACCAAAGGCGUGUGGAGGGUACUGCACCGAUUCCUGCCUCUAAAUCACCAGUCGGUGGCCCUGCUUUGGGGACAGUUACCUGCAGUGGGACAUCGGGAUCCAGCUCAAAGGAGGGCACUUUAUCUGUCCAGGGCAGGAACUUUUUUGUGUCAGGAUCAAUGUAGUAGUCAAAAAUCGUUCCCUGCGAGGGGAACUUGAUAGUCUUGAAUUCGUUGAUCCACCAUUUACUGAACUCCACUCGAUAAUCCACAA
rnacentral:lncRNA from 1 species